rnacentral:rRNA from 1 species
GACGAACGCUGGCGGCGUGCUUAACACAUGCAAGUCGAACGGUAAGGCCCUUCGGGGUACACGAGUGGCGAACGGGUGAGUAACACGUGGGUGAUCUGCCCUGCACUUCGGGAUAAGCCUGGGAAACUGGGUCUAAUACCGGAUAGGACCACUGCCUGCAUGGGUGGUGGUGGAAAGCUCUUGCGGUGUGGGAUGGGCCCGCGGCCUAUCAGCUUGUUGGUGGGGUGAUGGCCUACCAAGGCGACGACGGGUAGCCGGCCUGAGAGGGUGACCUGCCACACUGGGACUAAGAUACGGCCCAGACUCCUGCGGGAGGCAGCAGUGGGGAAUAUUGCACAAUGGGCGCAAGCCUGAUGCAGCGACGCCGCGUGAGGGAUGACGGCCUUCGGGUUGUAAACCUCUUUCAGCACCGACGAAGCGCAAGUGACGGUAGGUGCAGAAGAAGGACCGGCCAACUACGUGCCAGCCGCCGCGGUAA